AAAAUUAUCGUAAAUAGAGGUGGC
rnacentral:miRNA from 1 species